rnacentral:rRNA from 1 species
CCUACGGGUGGCAGCAGUGAGGAAUAUUGGUCAAUGGGCGUGAGCCUGAACCAGCCAAGUAGCGUGAAGGAUGACUGCCCUAUGGGUUGUAAACUUCUUUUAUAAGGGAAUAAAGUGAUCCACGUGUGGCUUUUUUUAUGUAACUUAUGAAUAAGGAUCGGCUAACUCCGUGCCAGCAGCCGCGGUAAUACGGAGGAUCCGAGCGUUAUACGGAUUUAUUGGGUUUAAAGGGAGCGUAGGUGGGUUGUUAAGUCAGUUGUGAAAGUUUGCGGCUCAACCGUAAAAUUGCAGUUGAUACUGGCAGUCUUGAGUACAGUUGAGGUAGGCGGAAUUCGUGGUGUAGCGGUGAAAUGCUUAGAUAUCACGAAGAACUCCGAUUGCGAAGGCAGCUUACUGGACUGCAACUGACAUUGAUGCUCGAAAGUGUGGGUAUCAAACAGGAUUAGAUACCCCUGUAGUC